UACAGAGGUCUCGAGCGUUAGGCGGAAUCACUGGGCUUACAGCGUGUGUAGGCGGAUUGGUAAGUACUUUGUGAAAUCCCACGGCUUAACCGUGGAACUGCUUGGUAUACUGCCAGUCUUGAGCCAGCUAGGGGCUACCGGAACAAAUGGUGGAGCGGUGAAAUGCGUAGAUAUCAUGUGGAACGCCAAUGGUGAAAACAGGUAGCUGGGGCUGUGCUGACGCUGAGACACGAAAGCCAGGGGAGCAAACGGG
rnacentral:rRNA from 1 species